AAUGCCUAGGAAUCUGCCUGGUAGUGGGGGAUAACGUUCGGAAACGGACGCUAAUACCGCAUACGUCCUACGGGAGAAAGCAGGGGACCUUCGGGCCUUGCGCUAUCAGAUGAGCCUAGGUCGGAUUAGCUAGUUGGUGAGGUAAUGGCUCACCAAGGCGACGAUCCGUAACUGGUCUGAGAGGAUGAUCAGUCACACUGGAACUGAGACACGGUCCAGACUCCUACGGGAGGCAGCAGUGGGGAAUAUUGGACAAUGGGCGAAAGCCUGAUCCAGCCAUGCCGCGUGUGUGAAGAAGGUCUUCGGAUUGUAAAGCACUUUAAGUUGGGAGGAAGGGUUGUAGAUUAAUACUCUGCAAUUUUGACGUUACCGACAGAAUAAGCACCGGCUAACUCUGUGCCAGCAGCCGCGGUAAUACAGAGGGUGCAAGCGUUAAUCGGAAUUACUGGGCGUAAAGCGCGCGUAGGUGGUUUGUUAAGUUGGAUGUGAAAUCCCCGGGCUCAACUUGGGAACUGCAUUCAAAACUGACUGACUAGAGUAUGGUAGAGGGUGGUGGAAUUUCCUGUGUAGCGGUGAAAUGCGUAGAUAUAGGAAGG
rnacentral:rRNA from 1 species